CCAGCGACAUAUUACGACGAAACUGUGUGCUCUGGGACUAAAAGCACAUUUCAGAAUCUCAAAGCCUUGACAUCAUUAUUCUUUUCCCAAAAACAGAACGAUACAAGUUUCACAUCAUGAUGGUAAAACGCUGCACACCGAAUACGUAUUCAUGACCAAAAGCACAGAAAUUGACUGAAAGAGAGAACUGAUCUAGCAGGAAUACCACCCCAUGGACUGUAUGAUUGAGUUGCACAAAGCCUGCUGCAAAUCGUUCUAUGCGAACAAUGUAGCAUGAAAUCAUAGUACGUUUAUACAACUGCGGAAUAAACAUAUAAAUUGAGGAAACUUA